GAUGAACACUGGCUACAGGCUUAACACAUGCAAGUCGAGGGGAAACGACGGGGAAGCUUGCUUCCCCGGGCGUCGACCGGCGCACGGGUGAGUAACGCGUAUCCAACCUGCCUCUGACUGAGGGAUAACCCGUCGAAAGUCGGCCUAAUACCUCAUGGCAUCGUCUGCGGGCAUCCAACGACGAUUAAAGAUUUCAUCGGUCAGGGAUGGGGAUGCGUCUGAUUAGCUUGUUGGCGGGGUAACGGCCCACCAAGGCUACGAUCAGUAGGGGUUCUGAGAGGAAGGUCCCCCACAUUGGAACUGAGACACGGUCCAAACUCCUACGGGAGGCAGCAGUGAGGAAUAUUGGUCAAUGGGCGGGAGCCUGAACCAGCCAAGUAGCGUGCAGGAUGACGGCCCUAUGGGUUGUAAACUGCUUUUAUGCGGGGAUAAAGUGAGGGACGUGUCCUUCAUUGCAGGUACCGCAUGAAUAAGGACCGGCUAAUUCCGUG
rnacentral:rRNA from 1 species